rnacentral:rRNA from 1 species
CUAGCCGUAAACGAUGGAUACUAGGCGUUGAGAGGAUCGACCCUCGCAGUGCCGUAGCUAACGCGUUAAGUAUCCCGCCUGGGGAGUACGCGCGCAAGCGUGAAACUCAAAGGAAUUGACGGGGGCCCGCACAAGCGGUGGAGUAUGUGGUUUAAUUCGAUGCAACGCGAAGAACCUUACCAGGGCUUGACAUGUCCGGAACCCUGUUCCCAAAGGUGGGGGUGCCUACGGGAGCCGGAACACAGGUGGUGC